AAUGUAGUAUAAGCAUGCCCCAGACAAUAUUUGGGACAUACUUAUGCUAAAA
rnacentral:miRNA from 1 species